AUAUUUACGUUGCAGAGAAGAUACCAUGAACAUGAAGGUGAUUUUCCCAGAGCGAGGCUUGUCCAUUGCACUCGGGAUAUGCUGACCCAUGCGAUUUCCCCAAAUGUGGGAAAUUCCACUGCAUAAUUUGUAGUAGUGGGGGACUGCGUUUGUGCUUUCUUCUG
ensembl:snRNA U1 U1 spliceosomal RNA